rnacentral:rRNA from 1 species
GACGAACGCUGGCGGCGUGCUUAACACAUGCAAGUCGAACGGAAAGGCCCUGCUUGCAGGGUACUCGAGUGGCGAACGGGUGAGUAACACGUGGGUGAUCUGCCCUGCACUUCGGGAUAAGCCUGGGAAACUGGGUCUAAUACCGGAUAGGAGCCAUUUUUAGUGUGAUGGUUGGAAAGUUUUUUCGGUGUAGGAUGAGCUCGCGGCCUAUCAGCUUGUUGGUGGGGUAAUGGCCUACCAAGGCGGCGACGGGUAGCCGGCCUGGGAGGGUGGACGGCCACAUUGGGGCUGAGAGACGGCCCAGACUCCUACGGGAGGCAGCAGGGGGGAAUAUUGCACAAGGGGCGCAAGCCUGAUGCAGCGACGCCGCGUGGGGGAUGACGGCCUUCGGGUUGGAAACUCCUUUCGCUAGGGACGAAGCUUUUUGUGACGGUACCUAGAUAAGAAGCACCGGCUAACUACGUG